UAUUCAGUAUUAACCCUUUCCCGGCUUUAGCCGUCAUAUGACGGCAGCGGUAGUGAUAAUUUUCAAAAAAUCGUUGUGGGCGCUGUGUUGGAGCUAUGCGCACACUGUAGGUACCAGCACAUGCGCAUUGGGCUGCUCUUUCACAUGGUAUCUUUAAUAUCUUGCCUCGAGGUACACUUUGUGCAGUACUGUCGAAAGAAAAGUGACCUUUUGAUAAUGGCUACAAGAUCUUUGUAGUACAACCUCAGCGAGGUUCUAGGGCAGCUAGACAGUGAGAAUAAUGAUGCUUAUGGCCUUGUUGAGUAAGAGGACAGUGACUGGGAUCAUACCAAGAGAGGAAACUACUUUUCAGAGAUCAAGCUAUAAACAUAGAGCCUGAAGAGCCGGAGGAAGAAGCUCCUGAGCAUGAACCAAAGUCCUGGACCUUGUGAAGAAAACAUUUCCCGGGAAAAGAGCGUCUGCCGAUACGACCUCGCAGAGAAGUUUCUGCUGAUCCUGAUUGAACCAUGUCACCGUGAGAACAUUGAGAACACUUACUUAGUGUUUUUAGUUACUUCAUGCCUUCAUACAAUAUUCUUUAUGUUCAUAA